rnacentral:rRNA from 1 species
GACGAACGCUGGCGGCGUGCUUAACACAUGCAAGUCGAACGAUGAAGCCCAGCUUGCUGGGUGGAUUAGUGGCGAACGGGUGAGUAACACGUGAGCAACGUGCCCGAAACUCUGGAAUAACUACCUGAAACGGUGGCUAAUACUGGAUAUGUGCCAGGGAGGCAUCUCCUCUGGUUGGAAAGAUUUUUCGGUUUCGGAUCGGCUCACGGCCUAUCAGCUUGUUGGUGGGGUAAUGGCCUACCAAGGCGACGACGGGUAGCCGGCCUGAGAGGGUGACCGGCCACACUGGGACUGAGACACAGGCCAGACUCCUAAGGGCGGCAGCAGUGGGGAAUAUUGCAGCAUGGGCGAAAGCCUGAUGCAGCAACGCCGCAUGAGGGAUGACGGCCUUCGGGAUGUAAACCUCUUUUAGUAGGGAAGAAGCGCAAGUGACGGUACCUGCAGAAAAAGCACCAGCUAACUAAGUG